GACGAACGCUGGCGGCGUGCUUAACACAUGCAAGUCGAACGGAAAGGCCUGCUUUCCCUUGUGGAUUGCGGGUACUCGAGUGGCGAACGGGUGAGUAACACGUGAGUUAUCUGCCCCCAACUUGGGUAUAAGCCUGGGAAACUGGGUCUAAUUCCCGAUAGGACCGCAGGGUGGUGCCGGUGGUGGAAAACGAUUUUCUAGUGGUUGGGGAUGAGCUCGCGGCCUAUCAGCUUGUUGGUGGGGUAAUGGCCUACCAAGGCGGGGACGGGUAGCCUGCCUGGGAGGGUGGGCGGGCGAGGUGGUACUGCGACACGGCCCCGACUCCUACGGGAGGCAGCCGUGGGGAAUCUUGCGCGAUGGGCGGAAGCCUGAUGCAGCGACGCCGCGUGGGGGAUGCCGGCCUUCGGGUUGUAACCUCCUUUCGGCCGCGAGGAAGCCACCUGGUUGGAAGGGUGGUGACGGUAGUGGUAGAAGAAGCACCGGCUAACUACGUG
rnacentral:rRNA from 1 species